CCCUUAGAUGUCCUGGGCUGCACGCGCGCUACACUGAUGUGUCCAGUAAGCACCUAACCUCUUCCGAAAGGAACGGGUAACCUUUGCAAAGCACAUCGUGAUGGGGAUAGAUUAUUGCAAUUAUUAGUCUUGAACGAGGAAUUCCUAGUAAGCACAAGUCAUCAGCUUGUGUUGAUUACGUCCCUGCCCUUUGAACACACCGCCCGUCGCUCCUACCGAUUGAAUGUUCCGGUGAGCUCUUCGGACUGCGCGGUCUGCAGUUUCUGCGUUCCGUGCGGAAAGUUGCGCAAACCUUAACAUUUAGAGGAAGGAGAAGUCGUAACA
rnacentral:rRNA from 1 species